rnacentral:lncRNA from 13 species
CUUCAGUCCCCACUGCUUAGUAAAUUAAGAACCAACUCUUUCACUCUGUUGUGUCUAUGUUGAAGUUGCAUUGUUCCAUUUAUUCCCACAAGUUGCUCUCUGUAAAGACAAAGGCAUUUGUGAAGGAUACCCAAGAGGCGUGUGAUUCUGGAGAGAGAAAAAAAAGCAAAGAAGGAACAAAGAGCAGCAGAAAUGGAAAUGACAAAAAUAACUUGGGCAUCAUCAAUGUGCUGAAAGGAGGGUCUGAAUUGAAGAAGAUAGCUGAAUAGAAAACAAAACAUAUCACUUGGGACAGAUAUUUGCACUGGGUAUGGAAGGAGGUCCAGGAGGACAAAUGGCAAAAAUUCAUGGAAGAAAAAAAUGUCCUAAAUAUGCAAGUGAUUAUUUGUAUAGUAGCAACUACUUCUUUUUCUUUUGGAGAAGAUCUGUGGUUUGGGGGUUGGGUGGAAGGUAGAUAUCCAAUCAAUGUGGCUGGGAUUCUGCAGGUGGGGAGGGCAAGAUCUAAUUACCUUCUUUACAUUCUUCCUUGGUCAGCCAUCUCAGAGUGCCUCUUCUAAGUCACUCAGCCUUUCUUAGGAAAAUGGAAGCCAUUGUUAUGUAGAGGCACAGGAAGUCAGUGGCAUCAAUUCACUCAUGCCUUGAAUGAGAUUAGUCCCCCCAAAAAACAAAAAAAACAAAAACAAAAAGCUAUUUGUAUGUGUUUGGAGGGGUCUGUUUUGGAUGCUUAAUACCUCUCCAUGUUUAAAUCCUGAUCCCACCACUUAUAGC